AGAACGAACGCUGGCGGCAUGCCUAACACAUGCAAGUCGAACGCUCGUAGCAAUACGGGAGUGGCGGACGGGUGAGUAACGCGUGGGAACCUGCCCUGGAGUGGGGGAUAACCGAUGGAAACGUCGGCUAAUACCGCAUACGACCUGAGGGUGAAAGAUUUAUCGCUCUAGGAGGGGCCCGCGUCGGAUUAGCUAGUUGGUGAGGUAACGGCUCACCAAGGCGAUGAUCCGUAGCUGGUCUGAGAGGAUGACCAGCCACACUGGGACUGAGACACGGCCCAGACUCCUACGGGAGGCAGCAGUGGGGAAUAUUGGACAAUGGGGGCAACCCUGAUCCAGCAAUGCCGCGUGAGUGAUGAAGGCCUUAGGGUUGUAAAGCUCUUUCGGCGGGGACGAUGAUGACGGUACCCGCAGAAGAAGCCCCGGCUAACUUCGUGCCAGCAGCCGC
rnacentral:rRNA from 1 species